AAUGAACGCUGGCGGCGUGCCUAAUACAUGCAAGUCGAGCGGAGCGGCGGACGGGUGAGUAAUGCCUAGGAAUCUGCCUGGUAGUGGGGGAUAACGUCCGGAAAGGGGCGCUAAUACCGCAUACUAUCAGAUGAGCCUAGGUCGGAUUAGCUAGUUGGUGGGGUAACGGCCUACCAAGGCGACGAUCCGUAACUGGUCUGAGAGGAUGAUCAGUCACACGGGAACUGAGACACGGCCCAGACGCCUACGGGAGGCAGCAGUGGGGAAUAUUGGACAAUGGGCGAAAGCCUGAUCCAGCCAUGCCGCGUGUGCGAAGAAGGCCUUCGGAUUGUAAAGCACUUUAAGUUGGGAGGCGUUACCAGCAGAAUAAGCACCGGCUAACUACGUGCCAGCAGCCGCGGUAAUUC
rnacentral:rRNA from 1 species